GUUUUUGUCUGGUCUUCUCUCUCUUAAAACAGAGUGAAAAAGAAGAAAUCAGAAUCAAUUUUUUUUAGAGAGAGAGAAGAUAAUAACGAAGUUUUUUCUGGGUUUUCUUCAACGUUUCUUCUUAUUCUAAUUUGGGUUUUCUUCAGAUUGAUCGUUGAUCGCUUCUAUAGAUCCUUCAAGGUGUGUUUUUUAUUCAGAUUUUGUGAUUUUUAUGUAGUUUUUUGUAUUUUUAAUAGAAUAUUAAUGAAGAAAUUGAGUUAAAUUUAGCUAAAUUAGGAUUUUUUUUGUUGUUGAUGAUGAUGUUGUUUGAUAUAGAACCGUGACACGGUGGAGACCGACGUUAGAAAUGCAAUAAAAUUUAACAUAUAUGCUUGGAAUAGUUUCCACAAGAAGCACUACUGCCUUAUGCCUUAGCCAUAGGAUCAUAGUUAACCACAAGAAGGAUUAAGGUUCAGCAUUUAAACAAAAAAAAAAAAAAAAAUCCCACAUGUCAACAGUUACAAUAGUUAACACAUACUAGUCAAGCAUCCUGAAGAAAUAUUUGUUCAACAAAACCUAACAAUACACAAGUCAUGUGAUGGGUUUCAAGCUUGAAUCUAAUGCAAAAUCAGCUACAGCAGAGGUUACAUUUAAUACAAAGGCCAGCAACAGUAACCAGCGACUGACUUACAAUAGACGUUGCCUCUUCUUUGGAAGAUUUUCAAAGACCUGAUGUACAUCAACAGUUGUAAUUGGCUUUGAUGAGUCAAUAUUCUCCUGUAUAGAACACUAUAUAGCAUUGUUAGGAACAUAAUUACAAAAAUGUAAACCAACGACUACAACAACAAAAGGCUUCCCCUCUGUAACUUGGCUCGCUACACAAACACAAAAGAAGAAGCCUACCCAACCCAACAUAGAAGAUCAAAAUUAUAAAGAACAUACUAAGAAGGACCUAAACUUACAUUGUGGCUUCACUGUUAGGAUUACUUUUUCUCCCUUCUUCAUUGUCUUUACUGCUUUUGAUAGUGCAUGAUAAAAAUGAUCUGGUUCAAAGAAACAAAAGAAAAGAAAAUACUCAAUAGAAAAUAAGAGCACUCAGAAAAUUAGCCUAAGAACGGAAGGACUUGCCUUUUCUUUUUGGCAGUCAGUUGGUUAAAUUCUUGAAUCUGAUCACAAUCAAGCUCAGAUGAUUCCAACAUCUCCAUGUCUUUCGAAUUUGCACGUAGCCUUGAACAACAACUACUAACUUUGUCAAAUGCCUAAAAUAUCACAUUCAAUUAGAUAAAUUCAAAAAAUUAGAAACACCAUCAACUGAUAGAAAUUGAUAUUAAAAAAAAAAUCUGAAAAUUGAAAUUUAAUAAAUAAAUAAAAGGAAAUAAAAAAGAAAACCCCAAAUCUAAAUUCAAAAAAUUAGAAACACCAUCAACUGAUAGAAAUUGAUAUUAAAAAAAAUUCUGAAAAUUGAACUUUAAUAAUUAAAUGAAAGGAAAUAAAAAAAGAAAAACCCAAAUCGGUUGUUGAUAGUGAAGCACAACAAAUUGAAGAAAUGGAACUAGUGAAACUUACAAAUGGUAUUCAAUGAUUCAGUCAAUCUAUUUGAUUUUAAGUAAAAACCCAAAAAUCUCAAAUUUCAAGGAUUGAAUGAAAAAAAUCCCCAACAAUUUCUAAUUCAACUAAACCCCAAUUCAACCAUAACAGAAAACAAAAACCCUUUUUAAAUAGAAACAAAUUGGGGAAAAAAGCCAUACCUUCCUUUUUCUUCUUCUUUGUUCUUCGUCUUACUACGUCAUUUGGCAGUGGAAGGAGAGAGAGAGAUGGUAAUAUGAUUAUCUGUGUCUUACUACGUCAUUUGGCAGUGGAAGGAGAGAGAGAGAUGGUAAUCAGAUUAUCUGUGAGUUUGAAGAGAGAAGAGAAGAGAAAGAGAGGAUAGAUGAAGAGAAUAGAAAUAAAAGAAAAGAGUCUUUCUUAUGAUGUAGAGAUGGCGAUCUGACUAUCUGUGAGCUGAAGGGAGAACAGAAGAAAAGGGGAGAUAGAAGAAGAGAAUAGAGAAAACGAAGGAGACAAAAAAAAAAUUAAAAAAAAGGAAAAAAGUCGGACAUACAAAAUAAAAUGAAAAAGAGUCGGGGACAGACACGACUUUAAGUACCACUCGACCCUUAAGGGACCUCCUA
rnacentral:lncRNA from 1 species